rnacentral:rRNA from 1 species
UACGGGGGGAGCAAGCGUUGUUCGGAUUUACUGGGCGUAAAGGGCUCGUAGGCGGUCUGUCGCGUCGGGAGUGAAAACUCAGGGCUUAACCCUGAGCCUGCUUCCGAUACGGGCAGACUAGAGGUAUGCAGGGGAGAACGGAAUUCCUGGUGUAGCGGUGAAAUGCGCAGAUAUCAGGAGGAACACCGGUGGCGAAGGCG